rnacentral:rRNA from 1 species
UGGGGAAUUUGAGAGUGGGCGCAGCCUGAUCCUUCCCUGCCGCGUGCGUGAAGAAGGCCUUCUGGUUUUUAAGCUCCUUUUUUACGGAAAAAAACCUCCGCUUGUACAGGUUGACUGACGUACCAAAAGACCGCUCAUUCCUCCCCCCGCGUCUAUAAUA